rnacentral:rRNA from 1 species
AGAUUGAACGCUGGCGGCAUGCCUUACACAUGCAAGUCGAACGGCAGCACGGGAGCAAUCCUGGUGGCGAGUGGCGAACGGGUGAGUAAUAUAUCGGAACGUGCCCAGUCGUGGGGGAUAACGUAGAGAAAUUUACGCUAAUACCGCAUACGAUCUAAGGAUGAAAGCGGGGGACCUUCGGGCCUCGCGCGAUUGGAGCGGCUGAUAUCAGUAUUAGGUUGUUGGUGAGGUAAAAGCUCACCAAGCCGACGAUCUGUAGCUGGUCUGAGAGAACCGACCAGCCAC